AUUUAAUCAUUGCUCAUUGGUGGAAAUGACUUCAAGUCAUUUUCUUAAAAGGGAAGUUGGUGAAAACCCAACGCGGUCCCGCCACUGUAAUGCUGAGAUUUCAUAAAGAUCCACUGUUUCACGUCGGAAUGGGAAGGAAUAUGAAAUCGGAGACGCCGAGCCAGGAGACCUGCCAAAUGAGAAGAACACGA
rnacentral:ncRNA from 2 species